UUCUGACGAACGCUCUGGCCGUAACGAUGAUCGGAGACAUCCUGCUGUUCGGGACGUUGCUGAUGAAUGCUGGGGCAGUGCUGAACUUUAAGCUGAAAAAGAAGGACACGCAGGGCUUUGGGGAGGAGUCGAGGGAGCCCAGCACAGGUGACAACAUCCGGGAAUUCUUGCUGAGCCUCAGAUACUUUCGAAUCUUCAUCGCCCUGUGGAACAUCUUCAUGAUGUUCUGCAUGAUCGUGCUGAGAAAACUCAAGCAGAUUGCCUUUCCAUCUAGCAUUGGGUCCGUAACUCUGAUACUGCUGUUAACAAAUUGUGAGAUUUGCUGUAAAUGGAUUUGGGAAAAGACACAAUGGGAGAAUCUGGUGUUCUUGGCCUCCGUGGGUCCAUCCCUGCAUACUUCCCCCAGAAAGAAAGAGGACAAAAAGUUGGCUGUCCUGAGCGACUGAGACUCCGAAUGUGGGGUUGCUGUGCAGUCCGCGUGCCACCCCAGUGGCUGUUUGCGGAGAUGCUUCCAGGACAUAGGAGAUGUGGGGAGGAUGGCGUUUCACCCUCAUCACAAGGACCAUGAUGUAUUCCCAGAAAGGCCCUUGCCAAGGCUGUUCGGCUCUUGAAUCCCAGCGAUGAAACCAGGAACUCACUUUCCCAGGAUGCCGAGUCUCCAUUCCUCCAUUCCUGAUGACUUCAAGAAUGUUCUUGACCAGAGAGCCGACAACCUUCCCAGAAAGCCCAAGCUCGUGGUGCGUGGAAAAGUGUUCGCCGAGAUAGGCAUGGCUUCCCAGCCACGUCCCUGUUUUCAAAGAUAGUUUCACUUUAGUCUCUGAAUUGGAAUGCUGUCUACUGAACGGGUUUCAGGAGGGUUUAUAUAAGGGACUGUGAUGAAAUUGCAUUCCCCAUAGAUAAAGGAAAAAUCAUUUCUCUCCAGAGAUCUGAGCAGAAGGAUUGGCUUGUAAGUUUAACACAGCUGUAUUUUUGGACAUUCAGUGUUACUUGCUGAGUCUGACAGCCUUUGGGCCCAGCCAGGGUCCUGUUAACAAAUUCUUUUCACAUCCCAACAGGGUCUGCUUGGCCACUCAGUACAGCUGCGAUUAACCCUAAAGCUUUAAGGAACGGGCCACCUGUAAUAGGGACACCAGCCUUCCGGUAUAGAAACUAAAUUGUUAGCAAGAGCGUUGAGCUAGUUCCUGGUGCAGUGUUUCCACAGAAGACAUGUGGAGCAGUUGUGGGAAUGUUAAGGGAAAUUUUCCUCUGCCUUGACCCCUUUGUUAAAUAAAAUGACUUUGGGAGCCAUUCAUUGUACAGUUGCAAGAAUGAGAGUGAUUUUAUGAUGUGGUGACAUUGGGACCGUGUUCUAAAACCUUGGGUUUCUGAGUCUGCUUUUUGAGUAGGUGAUUUUGAGGUUGAAAAACCAGGGGCCUGCAUCUAGGAAAUAGAGCAUUUUCCAGAAGCUUCUUUGAAAGGGAAUCCUGGUUUCGUUGCCAAAAUGAAACGCCCGGGGUUGGCGCUGAAUCCCACAGCUGUGUGAUUUGCUCGUUGAGUUUUUUGUUGUCUGCUUUUAUUUGUUGGUUUGUUUAUACCAGUAAGAAUGAGCCCGAAUGUUGGUGGUUUUUGAAAUCCUGACUUGGAGGUAAACCUGGAGGAAGGACAAAAAGUAAAUAUGCAGGCUUUUAGGACUGAGUAGCCUUGAAAAUAAACCUCAUUUCUAAAAAGGA